rnacentral:rRNA from 1 species
UGACGGGGACCCGCACAAGCGGUGGAGCAUGUGGUUUAAUUCGGAGCAACGCGAAGAACCUUACCUGGUCUUGACAUCCCUCUGACCGCUCUUCAAUCGGAGUUUUCCUUCGGGACAGAGGAGACAGGUGGUGCAUGGUUGUCGUCCGCUCGUGUCGUGAGAUGUUGGGUUAAGUCCCGCAACGAGCGCUACCCCUAUCUUCAGUAGCCAG